rnacentral:lncRNA from 1 species
AUGCCUUGCUACCCAGGAACCAAACACAUAGAACAGAAGGGACCAGGGAAAAACAAACAAGGAUCAUUAUGUUCCAGAAGUGCUUUUAUCUUUAGACUGAGCAGCAGUUUUUCCAGGUCACUGGGUAGUUGUGUGUGGGUGGGAACAUACUUCUCACAGAGAGAGAAAGGUAGGGAGAGCAUCAGCCUGUCUCUCUCUAGCUCUGAACCAGGCAUCAGGUUUCUGCUGCCUGUCGGCCUGUCUCUCUCUAGCUCUGAACCAGGCAUCAGGUUUCUGCUGCAUGUCUCUCUAGCUCUGAACCAGGCAACAGGUUUCUGCUGCCUGUCGGCCUGUCUCUCUCUAGCUCUGAACCAGGCAACAGGUUUCUGCUGCCUGUCUCUCUCUAGCUCUGAACCAGGUAACAGGUUUCUGCUGCCUGUCUCUCUAGCUCUGAACCAGGUAACAGGUUUCUGCUGCCUGUCUCUCUCUAGCUCUGAACCAGGCAUCAGGUUUCUGCUGCCUGUCUCUCUCUAGCUCUGAACCAGGUAACAGGUUUCUGUUUUAUUCAACUCAUGAAUGAAUGUUCCCAUAUUGCUGCCUGGCAGCCAGUAUCAGGAGAAAAGGGAACAUCUUGUUCCGUCAGUUAUGCUGCACAGAGUAGAACAGGCUGUGGCCAAAGUUAUGAAACGAAGAAUGGAAGGGAGGGGAAACAAUAGAAAAAGGAGAGUAGGAGCAGAGGGGGUAUAACUGGACUGUGUGUUUGAUUGAAUUCAUAUCUUAUACCAAUGUAUGGAAUAAUAUAAAGGGGGGGGGUCUUUUCAAUCCAUAUCGCAGAAGUUCAGCAUUACGUCACGAUUGAAAUUUAAAAGGCAGUGUUAGUCGAGACUGCAUUCACGGUAAACGCUGUAAUAUGUCGACUCAAUCAGAAAUGACCUUUAAAUUUCGAUAGCGUGCAAUCUGUAACGCCUCAGCGAAUAGAGAUUGAAUAAAGGCUGAAGUCUGUUUUUAGAGAGCGCUUGCAGAAAUUGCAUUUUUCAGGGUAGGAUAGGGAGUGACGCAAAAUGUAAAACAUGUCCGACACCGACUGGCUUGAUCAAGUCCAUAUUUCUGUGCUGAGAGGACAGACAAGAGUGGAAGAUGUCUUCUCCCUCAUCUUCCUCUUGGAGUCUUUCCCUCUGUGUGUUUCAACCUGUUGAUUGGUGGUGGUGUGACUCUACUGGACCGCUCUGUUGGCUGGGGGGCGCUGGACCGGGGGCGUUGGACCGGGGGCGCUGGACCGGGGGCGCUGGACCGGGGCUCUAGACUGGGGACGCUGGACCGGGGUCGCUGGACGGGAGCACUGGGCGAGGGCGGUGGGCUGGACGGGGCGGUGCAUGGUUUGGGGCUCCCCAGAACCACACUGACCCACCUUCCUUUAGAUAUCCCCCCUGCUCCUGGGAACCCUGAGGAGGAAAUGAAGAGGUGCCGGUAGUCAAGUAGUAGAAAAUGACAGGCGACAAUACAAAUUACAAGACAGACAGCACCAGUCUAGUUGAACCGCUGUGUGAUGUCGUCAUUAAAGGAGUAGUGUGGAGAAUAUGAUGGUUCAGUCACCUGGUUGUGUUGACAUGGUCACCCAGACCAGUACUUGUAGCAUCGACCAAUCAGAGAGGCUGUAGACUGCAUUAGGCUUUAUACUCUCUCUAGGGCUUGUUGUGUCUAUGGAGAGAGAUACAACAGUGAAUUUACAGAGAGAGAUAAAACAGUGACUAUAUAGAGAGAGAUAAAACAGUGACUUUACGGCGAGAGAUAAACAGUGACUAUAUAGAGAGAGAUAAAACAGUGACUUUACGGAGAGAGAUAAAACAGUCACAAUCACAUUUCAGAUAAGCACAUUCACAUGCAGCUUUUCAGAGACAUUCCUGGUUGCUCAGUCUAUCUGCAUCAGUGGGGAAUCGUCAGGGCCUUCUAGGCCUUCCCUAAGGAUUUAUAAAAAUGUAUGUUUUUCUAAAAAUAAACGUUGUUUUAAUUUCUAUUUAAUCUUUACAAUAAUCUUAAUAAUCGUCUUCUGAUUUAAUCUGAAGAAAUCUUUAGAUUGUCUUUAGCUAGCUUGUGUUGUAGUAGUGUGACGAUGUUAGCUAGCUUGUGUUGUAGUCGUGUGACGAUGUUAGCUAGCCUGUGUUGUAGUCGUGUGACGAUGUUAGCUAGCUUGUGUUGUAGUCAUGUGACAAUGUUAGCUAGCUGUGUUGUAGUCGUGUGACGAUGUUAGCUAGCUUGUGUUGUAGUCGUGUGACGAUGUUAGCUAGCUUGUGUUGUACUAGUGAGAUAAUGGAGACGGCAGCAGCAACUGUUAUCAUCUUCAAAGUGGCGUUAAGCUACCAUAGGUUGUGUAAUCAGUGUGUUUCUUGUUUUGUUGGUUGCGUUAUUUUAUGCUGUGUGUCAUAUUGUGUCCAUGCCGGCUUACAGCAGUGGAGGCUCCUCAGAGGAGGAAGGAGAGGACCAUCCUCCUCAGUGAAUUUAAAUUUAAAUUUAUUUUUUUGUGAAACAAUUAAAAAAAAGUGAUCCUUUUUAGAUAAAACUAAACUAAAUAUGUUAACAUGUCACCAAAUAAUUGAUUUAAACAACAAAGGUCUACAGUAGCCUCAACAGCACUCUCUGGUGUAGCACCCCUGUGUAGCCGGAGGACAGCUAGCUCCCAUCCUCCUUCAAGUAUAUUGACUUCAAACCUAGGAGGCUUAUAUUUAUUUUUGUUUUGUUAUUUAACUAGGCAAGUCAGUUAAGAACAAAUUCUUAUUUACAAUGAUGGCCUACCCCCAGCCAAACCCAGACGGCACUGGGCCAAUUGUGCACCACCCUAUGGGACUCCCAAUCACAGCCAGAUGUAAUACAACCUGGAUUUGAACCAGGGACUGUAGCCUCUUGCACUGAGAUUCAGUGCCUUAGACUGCUGCACCACUCGGGAGUUCUCACCCCCUUCCAUACACAGUAGUUAUGACAACUUCCGGAGGACAUCCUCCAACCUAUCAGAGCUCUUGUAUCAUGAACUGACAUAUUGUCCAUCCAAUGAAAGGAUCAGAGAAUUAAUCUAGUAUUGAAAGCAUAAGCUACAGCUAGCUAGAACUGCAGUGUUUAAAAUGUGUUGAGUAGUUGACUCAAAGAGAGAGAAAUACAAUCAUUGAACAGUUUUGAACAAAUUAAUUCCUUAAAAAAUGUAAGAGAAGCAAGAGAGAGAGAGCUAUAUUUAGUUGUAUUUCUUUUCACUUUCACUUACCUAGCUAGCGAAUGCAGCUAGCUAGUUUAGCCUACUCAAACACCCGGCUCAAACAGAGGGAUGCUAUGUUAGCUAGCUGGCUAUGACUAUCCAACACAACACUGGAACUCUUCUUAGUCAAGGUAAGCUUUUGGUUUUAUUAGUUUAAUGCCACCAGGGCACGCCGGUGUAACUGCUAAACUGCUUGCUGACUGUACACUAUAUAGUGUGGGGUUAGGAUGUACUGUAGGCCGAGGCUGGAUGGAUGGACAUAGGGUGAUUUUGAAUGUUUUGUACGUAAUCAAAUGAUUAAUGACCGAUGUCUUCUUUGGUUUUUACUUGAGCUGCCUUCUUGGCCAGGUCUUCCUUGAAAAUGAGUUAUUUUGACCACAAUGUGACAACCUGGUUAAAAUAAAGGUUGAAUCCAACUAAAAUUUCACAUUUUUGGAGUUUGUCCUCAGAAUCAGUCUACUGUUUAAAAAUAGCAGAUGAACUAGACUACAGUCGAUAUAAAUGAGUCAUGUAUUAUUUUGACCAGGUGUUGAUAUCGUGGUUUCAUAGUGAGGUUAUAGUUCAGUCAACCAAAUGUUCAUCAAACAUAAACCGGAGUGUAUGAAAGGACACCCCGUUGUCACAAUGGUUCAAAGGAUAAAAGUGCAAAGGUUGACAGUAAUUCUCCAUUAAGUUAACACACAUCCUCCGGUCACUCUUCAUAUCAUCUAUCAAACAAACAAACACCCCAACCCAGACCAAACCUGUUGUCUGUCCAUGUUCAAUAACGGAUGAGACAAAGUCAAGGUUUUAAAAAUAGGGUUUAUCUUUACUUCUAUAGAACUGGUUACGAGCCAGGAGGCAGGCGGGGGAGUUAACACUGGUCAUGUUGCUUCUGGUCAGCCGGUCGACGGUUCAAUUCCCUGAAGAAAAAAAAAGAGACAAGAGAGAAAGAACGAGUGAUCAGGCUGGCUAGACGUGGACAAACAGAGUCAUGGAUUUUUCAUCCUGAACUCUGGAACAAUUUGUUUAACCUUCAGUCCAGAAACCUUUGCUGCUAUUUUCAGCUAUUUCAUUUUAUAGUACAUUUCAGUCAUUU